rnacentral:rRNA from 1 species
AAUGAACGUUGGCGGCGUGGAUUAGGCAUGCAAGUCGCACGGGCCGCAAGGCCAGUGGCGCAAGGGUGAGUAAGGCGACGGUAACCAACCCCGGGAUCGGGUAUAGCCGCGGGAAACCGCGGGUAAUCCCCGGCGACGUCACCAGGGGGCAUCCCCGGUGACAAAGUCCCGGCGUCCCGGGACGGGCCGUCGUGGUAUUAGGUGGUUGGCGGGGUAACGGCCCACCAAGCCUGUGAUGCCUACCGGGCGUGCGAGCGUGGCCCGGCACACUGGGACGUGAGAC